rfam:Flavobacterium frigoris strain DSM 15719 genome assembly, contig: Ga0131223_110
UAACCUCUGGCGAGAUCCGCGUAUGUUG